UACGUAGGGGGGCAAGCGUUGUCCGGAUUUAUUGGGCGUAAAGAGCGUGUAGGCGGCCGUACAGGUCAGCUGUGAAAACUCGAGGCUCAACCUCGAGACGUCGGUUGAAACCGUACGGCUAGAGUCCGGAAGAGGAGAGUGGAAUUCCCGGUGUAGCGGUGAAAUGCGCCAGAUAUCGGGAAGAACACCCGGUGGCGAAGGCGG
rnacentral:rRNA from 1 species